GAUGAACGCUGGCGGCGUGCCUAAUACAUGCAAGUCGAGCGAACGGACGAGAAGCUUGCUUCUCUGAUGUUAGCGGCGGACGGGUGAGUAACACGUGGAUAACCUACCUAUAAGACUGGGAUAACUUCGGGAAACCGGAGCUAAUACCGGAUAAUAUUUUGAACCUCAUGGUUCAAAAGUGAAAGACGGUCUUGCUGUCACUUAUAGAUGGAUCCGCGCUGCAUUAGCUAGUUGGUACGGUAACGGCUUACCAAGGCAACGAUGCAUAGCCGACCUGAGAGGGGGAUCGGCCACGCGGGAACUGAGACACGGUCCAGGACCCUACGGGGGGCAGCAGUAGGGAAUCUUCCGCAAUGGGCGAAAGCCUGACGAGGCAACGCCGCGUGAGGGAUGGAGGUCUUCGGAUCGUAAAACUCUGUUAUUAGGGAAGAACAUAUGUGUAAGUAACAGUGCACAUCUUGACGGAACCUAAUCAGAAGGCCACGGCAAACUACGU
rnacentral:rRNA from 1 species